GACAGGUGGUGCAUGGUUGUCGUCAGCUCGUGUCGUGAGAUGUUGGGUUAAGUCCCGCAACGAGCGCAACCCCUAUCUUUAGUAGCCAGCAUUUCAGGUGGGCACUCUAGAGAGACUGCCAGGGAUAACCUGGAGGAAGGUGGGGACGACGUCAAAUCAUCAUGCCCCUUAUGACCAGGGCUACACACGUGCUACAAUGGCGUAAACAGAGGGAAGCAGCCUCGUGAGAGUGAGCAAAUCCCAAAAAUAACGUCUCAGUUCGGAUUGUAGUCUGCAACUCGACUACAUGAAGCUGGAAUCGCUAGUAAUCGCGAAUCAGAAUGUCGCGGUGAAUACGUUCCCGGGUCUUGUACACACCGCCCGUCACACCAUGGGAGUCAGUAACGCCCGAAGUCAGUGACCCAACCGUAAGGAGGGAGCUGCCGAAGGCGGGACCGAUAACUGGGGUGAAGUCGUAACAAGGUAGCCGUAUCGGAAGGUGCGGCUGGAUCACCUCCUUUCUAAGGAA
rnacentral:rRNA from 1 species